rnacentral:tRNA from 2 species
GCGGGUGUAGUUCAAUGGUAGAACCUCAGCCUUCCAAGCUGAUGAUGGCGGUUCGAUCCCGCUCACCCGCUCCA